rnacentral:rRNA from 1 species
AGAGUUUGAUCCUGGCUCAGGACGAACGCUGGCGGCGUGCCUAAUACGUGCAAGUCGAGCGAGCGGAACCAACAGAUUUACUUCGGUAAUGACGUUGGGAAAGCGAGCGGCGGAUGGGUGAGUAACACGUGGGGAACCUGCCCCUAAGUCUGGGAUACCAUUUGGAAACAGGUGCUAAUACCGGAUAAUAAAGCAGAUCGCAUGAUCAGCUUUUGAAAGGCGGCGUAAGCUGUCGCUAAGGGAUGGCCCCGCGGUGCAUUAGCUAGUUGGUAAGGUAACGGCUUACCAAGGCGACGAUGCAUAGCCGAGUUGAGAGACUGAUCGGCCACAUUGGGACUGAGACACGGCCCAAACUCCUACGGGAGGCAGCAGUAGGGAAUCUUCCACAAUGGACGCAAGUCUGAUGGAGCAACGCCGCGUGAGUGAAGAAGGUUUUCGGAUCGUAAAGCUCUGUUGUUGGUGAAGAAGGAUAGAGGUAGUAACUGGCCUUUAUUUGACGGUAAUCAACCAGAAAGUCACGGCUAACUACGUGCCAGCAGCCGCGGUAAUACGUAGGUGGCAAGCGUUGUCCGGAUUUAUUGGGCGUAAAGCGAGCGCAGGCGGAAAAAUAAGUCUAAUGUGAAAGCCCUCGGCUUAACCGAGGAACUGCAUCGGAAACUGUUUUUCUUGAGUGCAGAGGAGGAGAGUGGAACUCCAUGUGUAGCGGGUGGAAUGCGUAGAUAUAUGGAAAAACACCCAUUGGGGAAAGGCGGCUUCUCUGGUCUGCAACUGACGCUGAAGGUCUCAAAAGCCUGGGGUAACGAAAAGGGAAUUAAAUACCC